rnacentral:rRNA from 1 species
AUUGAACGCUGGCGGCAGGCCUAACACAUGCAAGUCGAACGAGUGGCGGACGGGUGAGUAAUGUCUGGGAAACUGCCCGAUGGAGGGGGAUAACUACUGGAAACGGUAGCUAAUACCGCAUACCCUCGUAUGUGCCCAGAUGGGAUUAGCUAGUAGGUGGGGUAACGGAUCACCUAGGCGACGAUCCCGAGCUGGUCUGAGAGGAUGACAAGCCACACUGGGACUGAGACACGGCCCAGAAUCCUACGGGAGGCAGCAGUGGGGAAUAGUGCGCAAUGGGGGCAACCCUGACGCAGCCAUGCCGCGUGAAUGAAGAAGGCCUUCGGGUUGUAAAGUUCUUUCGGUAGCGAGGCGUUAACUACAGAAGAAGCACCGGCUAACUCCGUGCCAGCAGCCGCGGUAAUAC